UGCUGCCACCACUGCUCUCCACUGUGCAUGGGGCUCCCACCAAUGCUCUCCACUCUGCCUUUCAGAGCCUCUGGAAGAGCUGAAGUGGGCCUGAACAUGAUACAGACUUCAGACUGGAUCUUUUCUAAAUCCUAAGAAGUCUUUAGUUGAGGUCCUCUUGGGCCAGGAGUGCUCCCGUGUCAAGCUGUCCCAGCAGAAACACUGCAUCCAAGUUGAUCAGGGCACGGGUAUCGUGUCCUGUUUCCAAAGCAUCCACAAAGAGCUUGGAAAUCCUCUCCCCAAACUCCACGUUGUCGCUGCAGCCUCCCCAGACCCAGCCUCGGCCACCUGCAAGGCAAACAAGACGGUCCUGUCAUCAGAAAGUUAUUCACCGACCUGAAACAAAGAAAGGAAAAUGAGCCGCGCCAUUUAACACAGGCUCAAGAGCAUCCCCCAUGCACCCUGAAACCUACCACGCUGCUGCAUUGAGAACAGCCCCAGAGAU